GAUAACUUGAAUUUCACAGCAAAAUUUGUACAAGGAGUUUACCUGUGGAUUUCCACAUUGCCCAAUCAGGAAAUGUCUUCAGAAUUAACAAACGGCCGCUGUCAACUAGUUUCACUGCCAUUAUAUUGCUGAUAACCUUUUUCCACUUUCUGAACACAUAGGUAUCGAAAACAAAAGUGAACAAGUUGUAAUUUAGAAUGAGGAAUUGUGACGUCUAAGGGGAUUCCCAGAGCCUCGCUGUCAGCACCAGCUCUUAAAAGCUCUUGAAAUGCAGACUGCAUCACAGCAGCUAGUACACUGACCGAGUGUUGGCAACUGAAGCGCUGGAAUUCUGCUUUGUAUUAAUCGUAAUAGACAUAUAUAUAUAAAAAAAAACUGUGAUAGAAAAUGAAACCAGAAUCAAGAAAGUCUUCGAUCAAGAAGAACGAAAAUCAAAAAUUAUCAAUAAAAGAUCAGAAAGCCAUCGCAGAAUGUGCUCUUCAUCUCCGGAAGAUAGGAGACGUCUUCAACUUAAAGUACAAACUUCUGUACUUCUUGGAAAAAAAUAAUAGAACUUUUCUAAAAAAGAAGUGAAAAAAUGCUUGUUGAAGAGUUUUUAUUGCCAAAAACUAAAAUAAAAAAAUAGGGAAAAUGAAGGACAUAACCGACAUCGAAACUAUGACACAACCUUACGGAGACGGAAGAAUGCUUCGGAAUCCAGGGCUGGUAGCCGGUGGACCCUCGUUAUGAAAGUCUGGCGAUGAGAUUUUCUGAGAGGUAGCCGUUAAAACCAAGACAGGAUUCAGUGGAUGUGUUUUACAUGUUGCUUUGGAGAAAAGGAAAACGGGACACUAGAAUCGUUUUCUUCCAAGUGGCACGCAAAAGAAACAACUGACGCAAAACCCUGAAAAAAUGUUAAAGCCAUCGAAAACUUCACUUUCCCUGCGAGUUUUCCUGUUUAUUACAAAAGAGGAGACAUCUUAAAAGAAGGGUUUGUGAUGGACAAAGGAGGCGUUAUUUUGCCAGGCUGAUGUAAAUGCAUGUAGCCUGCAGUGACCUACACUGUGUGGUGGUCAUGAAGACAAGGAGAUGGAGAUGGAAGGCAUUUGUGAACAUAACCGUUAUUAUAUCCCCCCCAAAAAAAACAAAACAAAACAAACUAGAUUAGGCCAAAGGGCAUUCCUACGGUUUUUUUUCCUAUUAUUUCACAGCUUUUAUCUGAACAUUAAUAAUUAAUAAUGAAUAAUAAUUAAUUUUUCUUGUGUUUUUUAAUUCUUGUUUAGAACUAAACGUCCCUUUCAUAUAUGACACAUUGGGAUCUGAUGUCACUAAAAAUGCUCACGUUAUGAAGAAAAUGUAAACUGAAAAUAUUUGGAUUUGUGGUGUGGAUCAUGACUGUAUUCAGCCUAACUGUUCUGUAAGAGUAGUCAAUUUUGAAAUGUAAUUUGGUUUGCAUAAUUGUAAAAUAAAGCUUUCAUCUCAAAGUAGAA